UACAGAGGUCUCAAGCGUUGUCCGGAAUUAUUGGGCGUAAAGAGCUCGUAGGCGGUGUGUCGCGUCGGCCGUGAAAACUUGGGGCUUAACUCUGAGCGUGCGGUCGAUACGGGCAUCACUUGAGUUCGGCAGGGGAGACUGGAAUUCCUGGUGUAGCGGUGAAAUGCGCAGAUAUCAGGAGGAACACCGGUGGCGAAGGCGGGUCUCUGGGCCGAUACUGACGCUGAGGAGCGAAAGCAUGGGGAGCGAACAGG
rnacentral:rRNA from 1 species